rnacentral:piRNA from 1 species
UAAAUCAGAGUUCAACAGACCCAAAUGCCA